UAAUGUUCCAGUUCUGCUUCAUUGAUAUCGAUUGAUAUAAAAACGUUUAUGUUGCGCUUGACUGAACGUCGUAGGAAAUUAUUACCGGGAGGCUCUCACUGCUCUCACUUACGAGAGAGAGGACGGGGUGAACGCUGAACUGGGCGGAUUAAUGGGUCAGGAGAGGAGCCGCCGUGCAGACCAGCCUGUGCCGAGUCGAGUGGCUGUCAUACCUCCAUGAGAAGUCGCAGUGAUUGGAAGGGAAGUGCAUCUCUUACGGACAGAAAUAAAUCCUGGGCACCUGCUACGUGGAGGCACUGAUGCAACGGAAACCUGAGAGACCCUGGCCAAAUGAAAGCCACAGGCUGAACCCGCCAUGACUGAGCUCCCUGAAAAAUAAACAUGCUACAGGCUGCACUUUCACCAUUCGCUACAGCCAAAUGAAGACAAGCAAACCGUGGCGUGCAUUUUAAACAAGACUAUUAUUUAUGAAUUAAAACUGCACCUUUAAUUUAAACCGUUCAUUUAAAAUUGUAGCGUUAAAUAAACUAGCUAAAUUGACCUCCAAGCACCACUUGCCCUUUGCUGGUAUGGAUUGCAGCAAUUCUUUUUUUAGAGUGAAAAAGAGCUGUUCUCCAUAUCUCAAAAAUGUUAAUCAGUCACCCCCUAAGAGACAGCUGAAAUUACGCUCAGAACAAAGAGUAUGAUGCACCCCAAACGUCUUUCAGCCCCCAGCUGUGGAAACCCCAUAUCUGGGCUGUAUAUUAUGGUUUUAGCCUCAAAUGUGGGCUGCUUUUAAGUGCCUCAUGAGCCAGACAAAAUUUGAAAUCUGACACGUGCAAGCUGAGACCAGACCUUAGUUUAACACCUUAGA